rnacentral:rRNA from 1 species
UACAGAGGUCUCAAGCGUUGUUCGGAUUCAUUGGGCGUAAAGGGUGCGUAGGCGGCGCGGUAAGUCGGGUGUGAAAUCUCGGAGCUUAACUCCGAAACUGCAUUCGAUACUGCCGUGCUUGAGGACUGGAGAGGAGACUGGAAUUUACGGUGUAGCGGUGAAAUGCGUAGAUAUCGUAAGGAACACCAGUGGCGAAGGCGGCUUCCUGGCCUGUAACUGACGCUGAGACGCGAAAGCGUGGGGAGCGAACCGG